rnacentral:rRNA from 1 species
UACGUAGGGGGCAAGCGUUGUCCGGAUUUAUUGGGCGUAAAGAGCGCGUAGGCGGUCCGGUAAGUCCGCUCUGAAAGUCCGGGGCUCAACCCCGGGAGGCGGGCGGAUACUGUCGGGCUAGAGUCCGGAAGAGGCGAGUGGAAUUCCUGGUGUAGCGGUGAAAUGCGCAGAUAUCAGGAGGAACACCGAUGGCGAAGGCAGGUCUCUGGCCGCAACUGACGCUGAGGAGCGAAAGCAUGGGGAGCGAACAGG